AAAUGAAUAGACGGGGGCCCGCACAAGCGGUGGAGCAUGUGGUUUAAUUCGACGCAACGCGAAAAACCUUACCUGGGUUUGACAUGCCGAGUACCCGAUGGAAACAUUGGGGUGCCCCGUAAGGGGAACUUGGACACAGGUGCUGCAUGGCUGUCGUCAGCUCGUGCCGUGAGGUGUUGGGUUAAGUCCCGCAACGAGCGCAACCCUCACCCUUAGUUGCCAUCAUUAAGUUGGGCACCCUAAGGGAACUGCCGCAGUUAAUGCGGAGGAAGGUGGGGAUGACGUCAAGUCCUCAUGGCCCUUAUAUCCAGGGCUACACACGUGCUACAAUGGACGGUACAAAGGGUCGCGAACCUGUAAGGGGGAGCUAACCCCAGAAAACCGUUCUCAGUUCGGAUUGGAGUCUGCAACCCGACUCCAUGAAGUUGGAAUCGCUAGUAAUCGCGGAUCAGAACGCCGCGGUGAAUACGUUCCCGGGCCUUGUACACACCGCCCGU
rnacentral:rRNA from 1 species